UUUCGAUUAAAAUGUUUGAUGUUAGGAGAUACAAACUCAAUCUUGAUGUGAUUAAUUAAAUUUCAUAAUUUAAUUGUUUAGAUGUUUUUAAAAAAGCUAUGUUAUGCUUUGUUUUAGCGAUGCAGAUAUUUUUAUUUAUUCUGUCUUAGGUCAUAUGGUUUUAAUUAUGCUCUAAUAUAUUCUCUGUCAUGUUGUUUUGUAUUGCAUCAUUAGUUCAAAAUUAUUAAGUUUAUGUUUAAAUUAUUUUCGGAAUUCAUGACGUAACUUCAAAAAAUUCACAAUAUCAAUUGAUGGAUUUUCCAAAUCUUUAUUCCUAUAAACCUUUCUUGUAUAUUUUGAAAUUUUGAUAUUUUAUUAUAUAUGUAUUAUUUUUGCUAUACUAUAUAUUUAACUAAAUUUUUAAUUAUUUUAUUUUAUUAUAUUGAUAUUUUCACAAAUUUUUAAUAACCUUGUUUUAGUUAUGUAUUAAUUUUUGGUUGUGAAUUUUUACUAAUUUUUAGUUUCAUAAAUAAAAAAUAUUUUUUUUGUUAUAUUCACUCUUUUUAGGGCUGAGUUUGAUGGAACUGAAAAAUUAAUAUCUUAUAUAGAUACUUUAUUUUAUUUCUUAUGUAAAUUUUUUGUUUAUUUUUGAAAUUAAUCUAAUUGUAUUACAUGUUUUCACCAAACUUAAGUUAUACUAUGUAUUUUAAUAAAAUUUAAGUAUUAUUUAUUAUAUUUCUUAUUCUACAAAAUGAUUUUUAAAAGAAUAUAUGUUUUGUAUUAAUUUUAGGUUGAGAUUCUUUCUGUAAAUUUUUCUAACUUUAAGCUUCAUGACCAAAAAGAGAAGAACAAAAUUUUUGUGAGAUUCACUUUUUUUCUUACAGAUUUAAUGAAAUGGGAAGAAUCAUUAUCACAGAUAAAACUUUCAUUUAUUAAAUUAUUGUUUUUGAUACAUUGAUAUCAAAAUUUACCGAACUAAAAUAAUGAAUCAUUUAAAAUAUUUUAUGGAUUAAUUAAUGGUCUAUUUAAUUUUUUUUUAAAAAUAUUUAAAAUAAAAAAUGUGAGACAAUUACUAAAUAUAUUAAAACUAUGCUACUUAUUGGUUGGAUAAUAUUUAUGAAAGAUAAUGUAUCACUCUCUAAAGAGAAAGAUCAACUUUAUUUAUUUAUCUAGAUUAUAUUUUCUCACUUUUCAAAAUGGUGUUAAUAUGGUUUAAUAUUUUAUUUUUUACUUUACGAGUAAAUAAAAUUUAUUAAGUUAAAAAUUAUAGGAAACUUUUGGAAAAAUAAAAUUAUAUGAGAUCUUAUUUUGAAACAAUACCAUUUUCUAAGUUUCUGAAAAAUACACUUUUGUAUAUAUAAAUUUACUAAAUUAUCCUAUCUAAAUAUUUAAUGUUAUCUUCAAAUUAUUGUCAUCAUAAUUUAAUGACUAUUUAAAUUAACGUUUUGAACAAGCAUUUUAAAAAAUUAAGAAAUAUAAAAUAUAUUUUAAAAUUUUAUUAAAAUUGAAAACAAACAUUGUCUUGUGCAUCUACGUCUUUGUUAUCUUUUAUUCUCCAUUUUUGCAAAGUAUUUUUUUUGAUGAAAAAAAUACUUUGAAAAAAUGGAGAAUAAAAGAUAACAAAGAAGUAGAUGCAAAGUAUUUUUUUUCUCUAGUUUCAUAAUUCAUUCUUCCUCUUGUUCAAAGCUUAGUUAAUUUUUCAUCCAUGUUUUAAGUAUAAUUCCAUUUGUAAAUUAUCAUUUAGUCGCUUUCUCUUCAAAUAUACAUUUGACCUUCGUAAUUUUUUCAUCUCGAUCUUUUAUAGUUCUCCUAAGAUUAUAUAAUUAAAAUUUGAAUCAAAGUUUUUUGAUAAUUUCAAAAGCAGAUUUAGGUUUAAUUCUGGUUGUGUUUUGUUCCUAAAAUAGUUCUGUUUUUUUUUUGUAUACAACUGGAGUUUUUCGAGAGUAGAAUGAUAUUUGGACUUUGGAGGGAAUAUCGUAUUUUUUUAUGAGAAUGAGAACUGUCAGUAACUUGUUUAUAUAAAAAUUAUAAAAAUAUAGAUAAACUUGGUAAGAUCACAAACACAUCAUAAUUUAUUUAUUUCUUAAUGAUAUUGCUAUUUUAGAAUCCUAAAUGGUAAAAUAACAUAUAUAUUUUAAACAAAGAUUUAUCUUAAACAUAAAUAAUUAUAUUAUUAUUAAAAAUUUAGAUUUAUAUUUUAUUCAAAUAUCUAAUCUGGAUAAAAGUUUAUUUUGACAUUGAAUAAAGUGUAAAUUUAAAAAAUAGAAAGAUGUGCAAUUUUCAAAAUUUAAACUAUUAAUAGAGUUUUUUUCAAAAUUUCCCAAAAUUUGAAUAGCCUUUCUCAAACAACCCAGACAAACUAUCCCAUCUUACAUAUUCCCCACAAGUUGGGUGGCACUAUUAAUUAUUUUUCUGUCGUUUAUAUAAUCCUUUUUCUUUGUUUUUUGAACAAAAUCUUUUUAUUUGUUCUUCACUUGUUAAAAAAAGAAAUUAUGGUGGGGUCCAUCCCAUGUUCCUAUUUGCUUUUGGCACCAACCAUUUCAUAUAGACUCUUCAAAUAUUUGUUUUAAGUUAAUAAAUUGAUAUAGAACCAAUAUAUCAUUAAAUUUUUCUUUAUUCAUAAGCAAAAUGAGAGGAAUGGUUCCAAGGAUAAAUCAUUUUCUUCUAAACUGCCUAUACAUAGGCACAUAUGCAAUCAUAGGAUCAGAUUUAAGUCAAAGAUAUGGUCAUAUGAUUGACACCUAAUAAGAAAUAUUAAAUAAAUGGAUCCAAUGUUUCUACAUCGCCUUACACAGCACAUAUAUUCAUGUGUAUAAUUUGUAUCAUUUUUCUAAUAUCAUCAAAGAUGCUCAUUAAGCAUCUUAAUGAUUAAGUUAGCUCAUAGACAUCACAUGCUUUACAUAUUUUCCUUCACAUAUAUCACAUGCGGAAGUAACACAUACAGAUUCUUUAUUUACGAAAACAACAAUUUGGCGAACCAGUAACCACUAUGGAUAUGUAUUAUUGGCGGAUGUAAUAAACCCAUGAUGUUGUGUGUUUUCAAAUGAAUCAAUCCACAGAGUGGUGUACUGUAACUAUCAUAGACAAUAAUUUCAUAAAUGUUUUAUUGUAUUUCGAAAUUCCAAAAACGUGAACAAUCUUUAAACAUGUCAUCCCUGCUUGGCUUGGCCAGGAGAAGAAAAAGAGCAUGAGCAUGUGGCCUACUGUGUUCCUCUAGUGGAUUAAUUUUUGAAAAUAUUUUAUUAAUAAAAAUAUACAUAUAUCUUGAGGUGGGAAAACAAAGAAUCUACAAUAAAUCAGUGCACAUGGAGAGUCUAUUCUACAUAAGGGAGGUAUUCAAUUUCAUACCAGACAAGGAUAAUCUUUGGCUUUUCCAUCUGUUCGAACAUGGCUCGAGUAACAGCAUAUAUGUGAGCAUUUAUAUAGUAAAAAUAAAAAGAAUAAUGUAUUGGCAAAAUCUUCUUUAAAUUAACCAGACAGUAUUUAUUUGAGAAACGUGAAAGUUGGAAUAGAAUGAGAAUUUGAAAAUUGUAAAUGAGAUUGUGCCAGUCUUCUCAAUCACAUGAUUUGUGUUUGUGCUUUUUGUGACUACCGAGUGCCUUUUACUUUGGCAGGUAAAGGAUACUCAUCUAAUCAGUAAUACAUUUUCAGCACUAUGUAUAAACUAUGAAUGGACCUGCAAGAAAUAGACUAAACUAAAGGACCUAAAACAUUGUUGACAGGUAAUUAAUUUAGUACUUCCUUCUGCCAUCAUCAUUAGACCUAAUCAUCAUCACGCGGCAACCUAUAUGGUUAGGAAAAAAAAACUUUUAAAGCAUUUGGUCAUAGCGUGUACCUGGAAUCAAUCAUUAGAAUUCAAUAAAUUGUUAGGUUUAAUUUAUAAACUGUAUAAUAUGGCAUCAAUACAACAAUUAUUUUUUGUAUAAAUACCGAAACAAUUUUUUUUUUCUUUUGGUCAAAACUCAAAACCGAAACAAUAUCUAACUAGGUGAUACCCGUACCCUGCGCGGAGUGAGUGAUCUAAAAUUAAUUUUCAUAUAUUAAAUCUAUAAAUUGUUCAUGUAUAUAAGUUGUAAACUUGUUUUCUUUUGAUUUUAAAGAUUGUUUAAGUGGUUAUCUGUAAAUUAUAAACAUUUGAAGGUAACAAAGAUAUAAUAGUGUGCAAUAACUUAUAUUAAUUUAUUAUGAAUUUAAGACAAAACAUAAAAUAAGAAAAAGAAUUAUUACGAUCAUAAUAAAUUAUGAUUAAAAUAUUAUAAAAAACAUAGGCAAAGAAAAGUAAAAGUACUAACGAUCCCAAAUUAUAAAGAAAUAAAUUAAAAUCUGAAAAAACCAAAAUACUGUAAGAAGGAUCUUCAAAACUCCUGAUUUGCAAUUCUAUACCAAGAAGAAACUGAAAAUUAGUUUAGCAAACUAAACAUAAACUACUAACCAAAUUCACAAAAUAAACUCAUGGGAUAUACCUUUUUUUGAACUCAUUGAUUUUUGGAACAUCUUUGAGUUCAAAAAUGAUUUUGAAAAACCCAUCGAUGUUGGUGACAUGCUUCAGACGACCUUAAAAAGAAAAAAAGUUCAGCAAUAUAUGAAAGGAAUAUCAAUUCCAUAAAUUUGUUUAUUCUCAAUUAGUACAAUAUAUUACUUAGCUUGUUUGAAAGUUCUUUGUUUCUGAGAUUUUUUUUGGUUGAAAAAGAGGUAGCUAUGAGUUUAAUAUGAGUCGAUGUUUUAUAUGUAGCCAUAUAUUUAUAGUAUUAGACAAAUAAAACUACACAGAAUAAGUAAAUGGAAAGUGUAUAAUGUGAUUGAGAAAUUAAUCAUUUGUUACCAUAUUAGGCAUAUACGAAGAUUUAAGUUUCCUAUAAAUUUGAAUUUCAGUCAAUUAGAUUCAAUCUUGUGACUGUAAUAUGUAUUCAAGCUUUUAAAAAUAAAUCAUAUAUGCGGAUAUUAAAUGGAGUGAACAUAUAAGGAAAAAUCAUAUUUAAAAUAAUGGAAGUUGUUUCCGAAAAUAAAUCAGGAUUGAUCAUAAAUGGGAUUGAUCACGCAUAUUAACUACACGCAAUCUCGCUUUCAGAAAUCGGUAAGUACUAUAUUUUCGAACAUAAUAUGGGGAAAAAUAUUCAAUAUGAUAUUUGACCAAAUAGUAAGUGUAUCAGUUUUCAUAUUUGAAAUUAUACGAUAUCCCAUUUAGAACUUAGGUUUUAUGGCGUCACUUUAGAUAUUUCAAAUCCAAGGCAAAAUGGAACAUAACUAUAACAAAGCCAAACCAUAUACCAAUUGAAAUCGGUUUAGUGUCAAACAUUAGAAUAUCAAUACCCAAAUAAAGAUUAUAAAUUGAUUAGAAUAUCAAUUCCCAUCAAUUUUGCCACAUGUUUUCAAAUAAUUAUUUUAUUCACGUUUCGUUAUAUAAGAAACAAAUAUUAUGAUUAUAUUAUGUUAUUCAAUCAAUCAUGACUCAACUAAUAAUCAAUCAAAUAUUUCAACUCUACAAAACAAUAAAAAAAGAAUAGGGUGAAUACAAUGAUAUUAUGACUAUUAUUGAAAAGAAAUGUGACGUUGACAAAAAUGUUGCCUUUUACAAAAGAGUUAAUAUUGCAUUAUAAUUAACGUUGACAAAAAUGUUCAUAAAACGUUCAAUUAUAAUAAGUGUUUCUAAAAUAAGCAUAAAAUUAUUCAUAAAAUUAUUCUCGUUUCUUUAGUUGCAUUAUAAAGAAAUUUGAUAUUAGUUUAAAAAUGUUCAUAAAAUGUUGCAUAAAAAUGUUCAUAAAAUGUUGAUUCGGUUUCAGAAAUGUUCAUAAAACGUUGCAUUAUAAUACAAUUUGAUAUUAGUUUAAAAAUGUUCAUAAAAUGUUGCAUUAUAAUUAACGUAAACAAAAAUGUUCAUAAAACGAUUUGAUAGAUGUCGAACUUAUUUUGUUGCCUUUUACAAAAGAGUUAAUAUUCUGCCUGUCAUAAAUUCUCGUUUUGUUUUUUUUUCAAAUCGGAUUGUAGUCAUAUAGUAUAAUGUAUAUGACCAAUGACAUUUGGUUGUAGUUAUUCUAGUUCACAAAGGUUUUUUUUUUUAAAUUAGUGAGAGUGCUUGAGGUGAUGACAAAUAGGAAAUGACACUCAUGUAAUAAACACAUGAGGUCAAGGUUUAUUUCUAUGAAUGUUCCUCCUUUAAUAAGAAAGGGAUAUGACAUUAUCUGGUCUUAACAUUCAAGUUUUGCAAGGAAGGUUAUAACUGGAAUAAGCUCUAGACAGUUUUUACAUCUUUUUCUUUUGUCAUAAAAACCGUUUUAUUACUCAAAUUUGGAUGGUGUGCCGCACUAGAAUAGAACAACUCUAAAAUGAAAAAAAAAAAUCUGUACAACGAAAUCUAAUCAACAAUAAUUUUUUUAAAUAUAUAUAAAAUUUAUUCAACCAAAAAAACUGUAUUACAUCAAGUGCAUCUUUUGUUUCUCUAUGUAUAAAGAAAUGUAAAAUAAAAGAUUUUGCUUAUUUCUUUAUGGGUCUUGUCUUAUUUCAAACCAUGUUAUCAAACCUUCUUAAAAGUGCUUUACCAUUCUCUUUGACUGAUAAUAGCUUCAGCCCCACAGUUUUGUCAACAAUCUUUGUCAAGCAAAUCAUAUCUCUAGGUUUUUCUCCAUGCUUGCGAGAAUUCCUCUCCCACCAUAUAGUAUGCAUUUUUGCUUGUAGAGUAUAUCUAAGAAUGAAAGUCUUUAUGGGUGUUAGCCAUUGAUUCGAGACAAUCUCAAUCAAAUCAUUCCAAUUCGCAGUAAACAUAUCUUUCAUAAGCCCUUCUACAAGACUUUUCCAAAUCUCCCAUGAAUAUUGAUAUCCAAAGAAGAUAUGAGUGCAUGAUUUUGGUGUGUCAUUGCAGAGAACAAAGAUUGUGUUAACAGAGUUGUUCCAUUGCUGCAUUCUAUAUGUCGUCUGCAGUCUUCCUUUUAAAGUUAUCCACAUCAUGAAAAAAUACUUUAGAGUAGACUGGGAAAACCAGACUCCCUUGUUCCAUGCACUAGCAUGGCGUAUAUCACGAUAACAUUGAAUCCAUUGAACUCAUAAUGAUGAUUCUGAAGACAGUCUCCCUAUACGCUUCAGACAAUGCACUUUAUUUAUUUCCUUUAGAGAUCAAAGUCCUAAGCCACCUUUAUUCAUUGGGAAGCAAACAUCUUUCCAGCUCACUUUUGCUUUAGUUGUCUUAAGCUCAGGACAAGAUCAUACAAACGCAUAGCAUAGCUUUUAUAUCUCUUUUAAACAGCUUCCAGGUAGUCUGAAUGCUGCCAUCCAAAAAUUAGUUAAGCUUGUUAUGACCGAACUUAUAAGAUGUAGUCCUGUCCCAAAACUCAUUUUCUUUCUGACUUUUUCUACUAGUGCAAAUAGUCAUUUACAGUCAUGCGCUUGGUAAGAAAAGGAAAUUCUAAAUAUUUAACUGGUAGCUUACCAGAUGAGAAUGGGAAGGUCGUUAGAAUAUCCUUUUCAAUACCCUCUGAUAUGCCAGUGUAGAUUUUUCCAAGCUAAUCUUUAGGUCAAAAACGUGUUCAUAUUCCUUAAUACCUUGAUAACUCCUUAGAUUGAUCUUUUAGUACAAUCAGUGAAUACCAGCAGGUCAUCCGCAAAACACAGAUGUGAUAGUAAAAUGUUUUUGCACCUAGGAUGAUAGCCAAUUUGCUUCCUUUGUACUGCCUUGUCAAGCAUACAUGGUAAAAAAUUUAUGCAGAUUACAAACAGAUAAGGAGACAAUGUGCACCCUUGUCUCAAACCUCUCUUGCUUUGAAAAAAUCAUGCAAGCUCUCCAUUUACUUGCACCGAAAAAGAAGUUGUACAGACACAUAGCUCAAUCCAAUGUAUGAAUUUCUCAGGGAUAUUCAACGCCCUCAAUGUGUUUAGUAAGAAAGACCAGUGCACUGAGUCGAAAGCUUUUGUAAUAUUAAUCUUCAUAGUACAGUGUGGUGAAACAUCGUCCUUAUGAUAAUCUUUAACUAUCUCCGUUGCCAAUAACAAGUUCUCCACAAGAAGUCUUAUCCUUCACGAACGAAUAUUGAUUAUAAGAGGUACAUAUGGGAAGUGUACCUUUCAAUAUGUUGGCUAUGAUCUUUGAGAUCACUUUGUACAAGACGCUGCAACAUGAAAUCGGCCUAUAAUUCCUCAUCUCUUGAGAGGUGUCCUUCUUGGGAAUAAAUGCCAGUAUAGUAGCAUUUAAUCUAUUUGGAAAGAAACUUUUACUGAAGAAUGACUGCACUGCAAUUGUGAGAUUUUUCCCAAUUAUAUUCCAAGAGGCUUUGAAGAAUUCAGUAGUAUACCCAUCUGGUCAUGGAGAUUUAUUGCUAGGCAUUCUGAAAACCACAUCCCUUUUUUCCUCUUCUCUUACCAUUUUUGUAAGCCUUGUUCUUUCUUCUUCGUUGCACCGAAAUGGGAGAAUGUCCUGAAGCUCCUCUUCUUUUUUUCCUUGCAUACUAGUCAGCUCAAAAGUAAGGAAGUCGUUAAAAAAUCUCUCAGUUUCCUUCUUUAUAUCUUCUUGCAUAGUCACUAUGUUUCUAUCAGAACACUUUAUUUCUCGGAUUGCAUUUCUGGUUUCUCUGACCUUUGUUGCAUUAUGAAAAGCCUUAUUAUUCAUCUUCAACUUGCAAGCAGUGUAACUUCGAUCUUUGCUUCAAAACCUUCUCCUUUAUAGCCAAAAUCCUUUGCCAUCUCUCAGCUGCCUCUUGCUCUGCGUGAAUGUUUUCCUGUGAAGGCACCUCAAUUAAUCUCUCUUGUUUCUCACAGAGAUCGAUACACUCUUCUUUCACCUUUUUGUGAGAGAUCCUAACUUGUCUUUACUCAGAGAUUGAAUAAGAGGCUUCAGCCCUUUAAGAUACUUUGAGAAUCUGUAUAGAGCCAAAGUGGAUUGAAAUAAUGGUUGUGUAUCCUUCCAGUAGUUAGAGAUAACCUCCAUAAAUUUCAUUGUUUAUUCGACCAUGCUUUUGAAUUUAAACGGUUUGCAUUUACCACCAGCUUCAACUGUGAGAUGAAAAUUACCCCUUAGAUGAUCUGAUACUCCCCAUGCUUCAAAAAGUAACACCAUAUGCAUGCGUACGUUGGUGAAGUCAUGUUUCAUUAACCAGGAUACGAUCCAACUUUUUAUAAAUAGUCUCAUAUUUUCUCUUAUUACACCAGGUGAAUUUCAGACCCAGAUAACCCAUAUCCAUAAUGGCAAUGUUGAAUAAAAAAUUUAAAAUCUCGCAUUCCUCAAGUGAUUAAACCAGAAUCCUGAUGAUUUGAAUGUUCUUCCCCAUCCAGCACCUCAUUAAAAUCUCCCAUAAUAACCCAUUCCUUGUUUCUGAACAUUUGAAAAUCUUGAUGAGACUUGAUAUCCCUCCAUAACUCUCUUCUUUUCUCUAUCGUAUUUUCCGCAUAUACAAAUGAACAAAAGAAUUCCUCCUCUUCCCCUUCCAAAAGAACCGACACUGUAACUAUCUGAUCUGAUUUGAAAACCGGAGUCAUCCUGACUUGAGAACUCCAAAUCACCCAGAUUCUGCCUUUCCUGCUGAACUCGUAAUUAUUUAUAAACAACCAACCUUGAAAAACUGAGGAUACAAUUUGAACUGACUUGCUCCCCUUGACCCUUGUUUCCAAUAAACUCCCAAAUAGUAAUCCUUUAUUCUAUAUCCAAUAACGGACAACUUUAUGUUUAUUUACUUUAUUAAAGUCUCUCACAUUUGGAAGCAUGUCAUUGAGAUGGUUUCCGAUCUUGCCUUUUUUGAGGAUCAGGAAUGUUUGUAUCCUUACUUGUAUCAGGAACUAUCUUGUGAUGAUACUUUGAGUUCCUCGGUAAAGAAGGCCUCAAGUUCCCUCAUCUUGCAGCAAUCACAAUAUCUUCCCUUUGUUCUUCUACACUUCUCCCAAUACUUUUACUUUGUAUAUCUUUCUCAAGUUUCUUUAUGGUAUUACCGGAAACAUUAGUUUCUCCUUUUUUCCUUCUAAUAACUUCUUCUCAUCUUUUACAUUUGUCUUAUUUAUCAAAUCACCAUUAUCAACUACAACAACUAGAGCUGAGAACCAUGAUGGAGUCGCAAUUCUCACUUGACCAUAUUCAAGUGGUUUUGUCUUCGGGCUUAAUUCUACUUACUUUCCCAGGAGAAAUAUGAGACCAGCCUUUCAAUAUUUCACAAUCCUCUACUUCUAUUACUUCCUCAGCAACCUUGUUAAUAAGUGUUUGCUUUACUUCAUUCUCCUUUCUUUCUAUUGUAUUUUCCUUUUUGCUACCUUCCUCCUCAGUCUCCUUUGCUUUGAUCCCUUCUUGUGUUAUGUCAGCUACAAAUUUCUUUGUCCCAUCUUUGUUAUUCAAAACACAAACAUUCUUCUUAUGACCCCAUUUUUCAUAUGUGUGGCAUCGCGCUGGUAGCCAAGGAUAGAUGAAUUGUACUAGUGUUAACUUUCCAUUCUUCGUAAAAUUUCUUUUUGUAG